CGCGUAGGUGGUAGUGCAAGUCUGGGGUGGAAUCUUAGGGCUUAACCCUAAAAUUGCCUUGGAAACUGUAUUACUUGAGUCAGUGAGGGGAGGGUAGAAUUCCCGGUGUAGCGGUGAAAUGCGUAGAUAUCGGGAGGAAGGCCUGUGGCGAAGGCGGCCCUCUGGCGCUGAACUGACACUGAGGCGCGAAAGCGUGGGUAGCAAACAGGAUUAGAUACCCUGGUAGUCCACGCCCUAAACGGUGGGCACUAGGUGUAGGGCUCGUAAGGGUUCUGUGCCGAAGGGAAACCAUUAAGUGCCCCGCCUGGGGAGUACGGCCGCAAGGUUGAA
rnacentral:rRNA from 1 species